GCUCUCUGCUGGGCCGGACCCUGUCAUCCAGAAACAAUUGCAUCUGCACUAAUGGCGCGUUCGUCGAAGGUGACGGGAAAACAGGUUUGGCCUCGGGGCUCCUGAUGCGAGAGGAUGAGAAGAGCCCAAGCUUGCGCCUCUCCAUAGCGUGAGGCAGUUAGAUAGGAAGGGGGGGGGGGAUGCCCUUGGAAGUGCUCCCUGAUUUCCUCUUAUCUCCGUGCCACUCCCCACCCCUCCCACCCCCCAGUCUUUUGGAAAUGAUGUUAUUGAACGUACUUUUGACUCUCACUAGACAUGGAUAAUGUGAAGGAUGAAAAAAGUAGGACGCUCUGUGCAACUUCACAAGAAGAACUCAAAGUCAGAGGAAAAGAAAAAAGGAAACGAAAACGCAGUAGAAGCAGAUCAUCAUCCGUUUCAUCCACAUCGUCUUCUAGCACUACAUCCACUUCUUCCUCCUCAUCAUGCUCAUCAUCAAGGUCAUCUUCAAGUAGCAGAGAUUCUCCUAAGUCUAAAUCAAAGAAAAAGAAAAAAGAAAAACACAAUAAAAAGAAAAGGAAAAAAGAUAACAAAAUGAAGAAAAAGAAAGAAAAGAAGAAAAAGAGAGAGAAAACAGGACCUGUCCAGCUUUCCAAGUUCUUUAAAAACAAAAAGAAGAAUGAAAACUACAGCAUGAUAACUGGAAAGAAAAUUAAGAUGAAAAUAAAGAAGUCUAAGAAGGAUAAAGAGAGAGACCGGAAUCGUGCAGAACUCCUUGAAUUUCUGAACUCUGCCUUAUAA
rnacentral:lncRNA from 1 species